rnacentral:rRNA from 1 species
GACAAACGCUGGCGGCGUGCUCAACACAUGCAAGUCGAACGGAAAGGCCCUGCUUUUGUGGGGUGCUCGAGUGGCGAACGGGUGAGUAACACGUGAGUAACCUGCCCUUGACUUUGGGAUAACUUCAGGAAACUGGGGCUAAUACCGGAUAGGAGCUCCUGCUGCAUGGUGGGGGUUGGAAAGUUUCGGCGGUUGGGGAUGGACUCGCGGCUUAUCAGCUUGUUGGUGGGGUAGUGGCUUACCAAGGCUUUGACGUGUAGCCGGCCUGAGAGGGUGACCGGCCACAUUGGGACUGAGAUACGGCCCAGACUCCUACGGGAGGCAGCAGUGGGGAAUAUUGCACAAUGGGCGGAAGCCUGAUGCAGCAACGCCGCGUGCGGGAUGACGGCCUUCGGGUUGUAAACCGCUUUCGCCUGUGACGAAGCGUGAGUGACGGUAAUGGGUAAAGAAGCACCGGCUAACUACGUG